AUUGAACGCUGGCGGAAUGCUUUACACAUGCAAGUCGAACGGUAGAGGGGGCAACCCCUCGAGAGUGGCGAACGGGUGAGUAAUAUAUCGGAACGUGCCCAGUCGUGGGGGAUAACGUAGCGAAAGUUACGCUAAUACCGCAUACGAUCUAAGGAUGAAAGCGGGGGAUCGCAAGACCUCGCGUGAUUGGAGCGGCCGAUAUCAGAUUAGGUAGUUGGUGGGGUAAAGGCUCACCAAGCCAACGAUCUGUAGCUGGUCUGAGAGGACGACCAGCCACACUGGAACUGAGACACGGUCCAGACUCCUACGGGAGGCAGCAGUGGGGAAUUUUGGACAAUGGACGCAAGUCUGAUCCAGCCAUUCCGCGUGCAGGAUGAAGGCCCUCGGGUUGUAAACUGCUUUUGUACGGAACGAAAAGGUCUCUCUUAAUACGGGGGGCUCAUGACGGUACCGUAAGAAUAAGCACCGGCUAACUCUGUGCCAGCCGCCGCAGUAA
rnacentral:rRNA from 1 species